CUCUACAAUGGACUAAUUUGAGAUCCUCUCCCCCUGGAUGGCUGUGCAAUUAUUUGUACAGGCAAUUCACUCCACCAGGAAAGAGUUCUGUGGACAUGAGGAGGAAGUAGAUGACAGUAGCACUUAGGUUAUUCUUAACUACGAAAAAGUUUACCGAAUGAUAGAAGUUCUGGCCAGAGUUUAAAGAGUUCUAUGUAUCAAUAAAAAAAGACAACAGACGAAACAUCUGGGAGCUUCUGCAGGAAAAAGAAGAAAGAAGAAUUAAAGGUUACCAAGCGGAACAAGGAAGAGAGAAAUGAAUUGUUACAUGGCAAUGAAGAAUAAACUCCUGAGAAC